rnacentral:ncRNA from 1 species
UGCGCAGAGCGUGUUUCAUCACGAUAUUGCGGAAACUCACCCCCUUGAGGCGGGCAGUCCGCACAUAUUGCGCCGUCAUAACUUCGGCCAUUGAGGCCCGUGUCAUACGCGCGAUAUAGCCCAUACCGUACAAGGCAACGGUUAGGACCGGCAGGGUAAAGUUCUGAAAGGUGGCCUUA